GGGCUUUUGGAGCAUUGAGAGGGGUGUAGCUGUGGAAUCUUCCUAGGAAACUCUGCGGUCCGAGCUCCUCUACCUACGAGCUCGGGGAGGAGUUCAGACAUGCUUGUAUCCGAGGGGAGUUCGAGAACGUAACCGAGCUUCACUCGGCCCUUUUUUAGCUAUGGGUUUGCUGGAGUCACCCGCUUGUCACUCCUUCACGGCCUCCUCAUCCUUCAACUUGAAGGCUUCCUCUGCUUGGGCAUAUCCUUCGGCCCGAGCCAGCAAAUCAGCGAAGUCCCUGGGGUACUUCUUUUUCAGGAAAAAUAGAAGAUCAUUCUUUUGAAGACCGCUCUUCAGGGCGGCCAUUGCAACUGAUUGGUCCAAGUUUCAGACCUCCAAUGCGGCGGCAUUAAAGUGGUUGACGUAAGUUUGGAUAGAUUCUCCCUCCUUUUGCUUGAUGUUGAUGAGGGACUCCGAAUCUCUCCGGAGAU
rnacentral:lncRNA from 1 species